CCGCCCGCGCCUGCGCCAGCGCCUCGGCGGCCCGCAGGUUUCUCGUAGUCUUCUGCGCCUGCGCAAAGAGCGUGGGCUCUCGGGAGUGGUUAUAGUGUGGCGGCGGUUGCUGUAGUGAGAAGCCCCACAUGGAGCCUCCCUCGGGCACAGCAGGAUAUCUGCCUCAUUUGAUGGAUCUGUUAGCAUUUGAGAUUUACUUCUCAUCCCAGUGUACUCCAUGGUCCUGCUGUCCAGCCUGUCUCUCUGCUCCCUAUCGCCGCUCCUCAUGGAGGCAAGAAGAGCAGAGGGGCCAAGGAGGCAGUUUGAGAAUGGAAUUACAUGAUGGAGACCUGUUCCAAUGCUGUAUUCCCUAUAGGUUCCCUGCCAUAUGUAUGGCUGGUAGGCUGGAUGGGCAGUCUUUUUCCAGGCUGCUCAUGCAAACUUCAGCCAGCAACUUGACACUCCUCAUCACCUCUCAGCCUUCAGGAGGGAAUCCUGACCUGACAGAUCUGAGCAACUCCAUCAGCCUAGGACAGCUGUUGAUGAACCUGAUCAGAUGGGACUACUCACAGUAGUAACCAUUAUACUGCGUAGUAAAUGCUUGCAGGAUGAGGCCCUUAAUUAUUUCCUCACUAUUAAUAAGCAGCAAAUAGAGAAUGGCUUCAGCUCUGGCAGUUCUGUAAUCUCUGGAUCAUAGAGUUGUCUUGUCUUCUUAGAAUCUUCUUUAAAGUGUGUUUGGCUGUAUUAGUUAUUAAGCAGAUACCUGGGUAUCUGAAAUCCACAUAAUUAACAAAAAUAUGGCACUUUGCCUUGUCUGCCUUGCCUUUUCCUUCCAAGUGUUAUAGUAUUGCUGAAACUGAUUUCUGAUUUACUGCAGUGUAGCCAUUGUGGAUUACUAGCAAACAUGUUUGUCAGUAUUCUUAUAAUCCAGUACUGCCAUAUUGCAAGAACACAUGAGCCCCAAAGCAAAAUGUAAGAUAACAAAUUCAGCCAGUGAAAAAGGUGAAAAUUGACUUCGAGGUGAUGAUAGAAUGGUGAGAAGUUAGAGUUUCAGAAAUUUUCCCUAGUGUUGUCAUCUUUGUACUCUAUCCUAAUUUGAAUUGAUGUGAAUAUAGGAUAGAGAAAUCUCAUAAUCUGUAACUUUUUUUAAUGCAAAUGUAUAUACUACCAUCGAUUUUAAGAAAAUCCUAAAUAUACUGCUGUAUAGAGCAACUGCACUAACCAGACUGUUUAAAAUUGUUGUUUAAUUAGGAUUUCAGCAUUUUCAUGUCAAAUUUACUGUUAAGAACUUAAGAAUGGCCAUACUGGUUGAGACCAAGGGUCUAUCCAGCCCAGCAUCCUGUCUGCCGACAGUGGCCAAUGCCAGGUGCUCCAGAGGGAGUGAACCUAACAGGUAAUGAAAUCAUCAACAUUUAAUUAGUAAAGAGCAAGCUACUUCGGAGCCCAAUCCUGCAACAUUUAUAUACAAGUGGGCCCUCUGAACUCCAUAGGAUUACUCACAUGCCUAAAGUUGCUCACUUAGUAAGUGUCUGCAGAAUCAGAUCCUAAGACCCCAGUUCUGCAAUGAGCUCUUCACAAGUAGACCUCUGUACUCAAUGGAGCCCCACCACCUUCAGUGGGACUGUAGGUAGAGUUCACUGCAGAAUUGGGGUCAAAGGCCCCAGCCUUGCAGCCGAUAGCACAUCGGAGGACCUUUGCACUCACAUGGAGCCCUUCUGACUUCAGUGUGGCUCUCUGGGGGUACACCAGUCCUCCUACAGGCUGUAGGAUUGGGGCCUUGGUGUGUCAAUUGUGUAUUCAACUAAUGUUCAAACAUAAAUGAUUUUUAAUGAUUAUCUAUUGUGGGGUGAAAAAAAUCCUAACUUUAGAAAUGUCAUUUUCAUAUUCCAUAUCUUUUAGAAAUCUGUGUAAUCUAUUCAACAUAUUCAUUUAAAAAAUCUGUUGUACCUCAUUUUUCACAAUAUUAAUUACUAUCAGU